CCAAUAUUGUAAAAAAAACCUAUUUCCAUGUCUUUUUUAUUGUAAAGCAGGUCGAGGUACUUUAUAAAUAUUGUGAAAAUAUCAAAACGGUCAAUCCACAGAGAAAUGCACAGACCAUGAUUC